UGUCACAGAGCUCAUGAAGUCAGAGGUCCUAUGGAAAGGAAGGGAAGAAAUCGGCGCUGGGAAGGGCUCUGCAGGGCAGCAUUCCUGGCAGCCAUCCUGCUGCUGCUGCGGGUGAAGGAGGUGAGGCCUCAGAAAGGGAGUCCAAGCCCCGACGAGAGGAGUCAGAAAGAGAAAACAGCAUCCACAGACCAGGUUCAAGAGCAGUUCGAAGAGCACUUUGUGGCCUCCUCAGUGGGUGAGAUGUGGCAGUUGGUGGACAUGGCCCAGCAAGAGGAGGACAUGACAUCAGAGACGGCAGCUGUUCAUGACCACCUAUUUGACCUAGCCUUCUGCUUUAAUCUGGCCAGCAUUAUAGUUUUUUUAUGAGGGACAUUGAGGCUGAGGUGGUGGCCUGGUUCCUGGAUGAGGACCUAGAUGUCUACCUCCGCUUCAUGAUAGCUUACUGACCGUCUCUCCCAACUGGGCUCCAGGCAUAAAAUGUAGCAGGAAAGAGUCAUUAAGAGACAGGCAGAAGCCAAACGCUAGCUUUUAUUUUUGGAACAAAAGAAAAUCACUGUCUGACAUGGGAACAAGUCAAGAAGAGCUUUUCUUGGUGUGGGUUGGAGAAUGAUAGAAGGAACUAGAUGAAGACUGGACUUAAAAGAUUAAACAAAACAGAUUCAUCUACUUUCACAAUCAAGAAAUCUCAGCUCAUCUUAAAAUGUGUUUUCUAAGCACAACAAAGCUGGAAUCCAAGACUUUCUUUGCCCUGAAGGUAACUCUCUCACCAGGUGUGAUUUUUACCCUUACAUAAACCUGCUCACACUGGAAUGAAUGGUGGUUUGCUUCCCU